UACGUAGGGGGCGAGCGUUAUCCGGAUUCAUUGGGCGUAAAGCGCGCGUAGGCGGCCGCGCAGGCGGGGGGUCAAAUCCCGGGGCUCAACCCCGGGCCGCCCCCCGAACCGCGCGGCUUGGGUCCGGCAGGGGAGGGUGGAACGCCCGGUGUAGCGGUGGAAUGCGCAGAUAUCGGGCGGAACACCGGUGGCGAAGGCGGCCCUCUGGGCCGGCACCGACGCUGAGGCGCGAGAGCUAGGGGAGCGAACAGG
rnacentral:rRNA from 1 species